rnacentral:tRNA from 1 species
UCCCUGGUGGCUCAGAUGGUAAAGCCUCUGCCUGCAAUGCGGGAGACCUGGGUUCAAUCCCUGGAUUGGGAA